AUCCAUACCAUACUGAAUAUACCAGUUCUUGUUCGAUUAUAGUAGUCAAGCAUCAUCGGCGAGGUCAGUACUUGUGAGGGUGAUCACCUGGGAACCCCGCGUGCCGU